rnacentral:rRNA from 1 species
ACCGCGAAACUGCGAAUGGCUCAUUAAAUCAGUUAUCGUUUAUUUGAUAGCACCUUACUACUUGGAUAACCGUGGUAAUUCUAGAGCUAAUACAUGCUGAAAAUCCCGACUUCGGAAGGGAUGUAUUUAUUAGAUUAAAAACCAAUGCCCUCCGGGGCUCACUGGUGAUUCAUGAUAACUUCUCGAAUCGCAUGGCCUUGCGCCGGCGAUGGUUCAUUCAAAUUUCUGCCCUAUCAACUUUCGACUGCUGGGUCUUGGCCAGCAAUGGUGACAACGGGUAACGGAGGGUUAGGGCUCGACCCCGGAGAAGGAGCCUGAGAAACGGCUACUACAUCCAAGGAAGGCAGCAGGCGCGCAAAUUACCCAAUCCCGACACGGGGAGGUAGUGACAAUAAAUACUGAUACAGGGCUCUUUUGGGUCUUGUAAUUGGAAUGAGUACAAUUUAAAUCCCUUAACGAGGAACAAUUGGAGGGCAAGUCUGGUGCCAGCAGCCGCGGUAAUUCCAGCUCCAAUAGCGUAUAUUAAAGUUGUUGCAGUUAAAAAGCUCGUAGUUGAACCUUGGGCCUGGCCGGCCGGUCCGCCUCACCGCGUGCACUGGUUCGGCCGGGCCUUUUCCUCUGGCGAGCCCCAUGCCCUUCACUGGGCGUGUGGGGGAACCAGGACUUUUACUUUGAAAAAAUUAGAGUGUUCAAAGCAGGCCUAUGCUCGAAUACAUUAGCAUGGAAUAAUAGAAUAGGACGUGCGGUUCUAUUUUGUUGGUUUCUAGGACCGCCGUAAUGAUUAAUAGGGACAGUCGGGGGCAUCAGUAUUCAAUUGUCAGAGGUGAAAUUCUUGGAUUUAUUGAAGACUAACUACUGCGAAAGCAUUUGCCAAGGAUGUUUUCAUUAAUCAGGAACGAAAGUUAGGGGAUCGAAGACGAUCAGAUACCGUCGUAGUCUUAACCAUAAACUAUGCCGACUAGGGAUCGGACGAUGUUAUUUUUUGACUCGUUCGGCACCUUACACGAAAGUACAA